CUUGGUCAUUUAGAGGAAGUAAAAGUCGUAACAAGGUCUCCGUUGGUGAACCAGCGGAGGGAUCAUUACAGAGUUGCAAAACUCCCCAAACCAUUUGUGAACCUACCCCUAAAACAGUUGCUUCGGCGGCGCCCUGACCGGCCCGCCGGGGACCACCAAACGCUUUGUUUUUAUGCACUGGCCUCUCUGAGUUAUUGUACUGUAAUAAGUCAAAACUUUCAACAACGGAUCUCUUGGCUCUGGCAUCGAUGAAGAACGCAGCGAAAUGCGAUAAGUAAUGUGAAUUGCAGAAUUCAGUGAACCAUCGAAUCUUUGAACGCACAUUGCGCCCGCCAGUAUUCUGGCGGGCAUGCCUGUUCGAGCGUCAUUUCAACCAUCAAGCCCCCGGCUUGUGUUGGGGACCUGCGGCUGCCGCAGGCCCUGAAAUCCAGUGGCGGGCUCGCCGUGGCACCGAGCGCAGUAGCACACUUCUCGCUCCGGUAGCGCGGCGGGCGCCUGCCGUGAAAACCCCCACGUCUCAAGGUUGACCUCGGAUCAGGUAGGAAUACCCGCUGAACUUAAGCAUAUCAAUAAGCGGAGGA
rnacentral:rRNA from 1 species